rnacentral:lncRNA from 1 species
GUGGGGCAUGCUACAAUUAAUAUUUGCACUCUCGACAGAGUCUGAGGUUUGUGGUCUGGUCCUGACCCUGCCUUCACUGCCUUGAACUCAGUAAGCUCAGCUGGCUCCUGCCUGUUCUUGCCUUCCCUUAGACCUUCUGUGAUCAUUUUCUUUCCUCUCUGUGUGUAUGUGUAUGCCCAUGUGUCCAUGCGUGUUCAUGUGGGGUCACAUGUAUACACCUCAAUGUGGAAGCAGAGGUUGAGAUUUGUGAGUCAGCUCUCUUCUUCCAUUGUGUGUGUUCUGUGGAUCAGACUCGGGCUGUCAGAUGCAGUGGCAACUCCUUCCCCUGCGGAGCUGCUUCCUGCCUCUGCAGUGCUCUUUGCUGCUUUUGCUUUUAGUGUUACACUUCAGUGUCAUGAAACUUACUUCCUGUUUUCUUCUACAAGUUCAUUUGUUUGUUUUUUUGAGACAGAGUCUCUCUGUGGUCCUUGUCAUCCUGGUUACUAUGUAGACCUGGCUGUCCUAGAAUGUAUGUUCUUCUGCUUCUGCCUCCCCAGUACUGGGGACUAAAUGCAUGUACCACCAUGCCUAGCCUUUCCAAGAGUUUUAUAGGUCUUACAAUUAAAUCUUUGUCCUACUUUGAGUUAAUUUUCAUGUAUGAUUAAAGUAAGGAUCAGUUGUUCAGAUACCAUUUGUAAAGAGACCAUCAGUUUCCCUUUAGGGUGUUAACAAUUUUUUUUAAAGAUUUAUUUAUUAUAUAUAAGUACACUGUAGCUGUCUUCAGACACACCAGAAGAGGGUGUCAGAUCUCAUUACAGAUGGUUGUGAGCCAUCAUGUUGGUUGCUGGGAAUUGAACUCAGGACCUUCGAAAGAGCAGUCUGUGCUUUUAACUGCUGAGCCAACUCUCCAGCCCCAACAAUUUUUUUUUUAUUAUUCCUUGUAUUUAUCAGGAGACCGGGGAGGGGGAGCAUGCAUGCCAGGACAUGUAUGUGAAGGUUCCAGGAUAAGUUCUUCUCUUCCACCAUGUGGGUCCUGAGUAUCAAACUCUACCACCAAGCUUGGCAUCAAGUACCUUCACCCACUGAACCACCUCUCUAUCCCCUUGGUUUUAGGACCCUAAAAAAUAGAUUGGGGGUUCUGGAGAGAUGGCUUGAUGGUUAAUAGCACUGGCUGCUAUACCAGAGUAUCCUGGUUCAAUUCCUAGUACCCACAUGGCAGCUCACAACUGUGUGUGGCUCUGGUUCCAGGGGAUCUGACACCUUCACACAGACACAACAACAAUGCAC